CCACCCCCCACCCCCACCCCUAGCUCUCCGGCAGAUUCAAACCACCCUCAGAACUCCAUCCGGGACAUCACCCAGAAGGACUAAUAACAAUGGACUCAUGGACUGCUGAGGCUGAGACCAGGAACCUAAAUAAACCUUUCAGACCUUAAGAUGAUUUUUUUUCCUGAUAUUUUUUUCACAACAAUGAAAGACCACUGGAAUGUCCUCUGCACCUAGGCAUCCUCCAUCUUUGUCCUGAAGAGAAUACUAGAGUGGACCCAUUACAUUGGGCUUCCUGACACCAGACGUUCCAGGCUUGCUUUGGAGACAAAUCACUGAGGUCCAUGGCAAGUACAGAGUGGAGUUCAAAUCUGCUCUUUGAGAAGAGAGGCCCAGAAGAGAGUGGAUUCUUGAAGCCCCAUGGAGGGCUAGCUACAUUUUACCUGGAGACAAGAUAAUCUGAGGGGUGAAGCCAGUGAUGCAGAGCACCAAGACUCAGAAGAUGAAUAUUGUGCCUGCUUUGGCGAGACAUGGUUCAGACUCAGGAGUAUGUAAUGAUAAUAAAGAGAAGAUAUGAUGAUA